rnacentral:rRNA from 1 species
UGGGGAAUUUUGGACAAUGGGCGCAAGCCUGAUCCAGCCAUUCCGCGUGCAGGACGAAGGCCUUCGGGUUGUAACUGCUUUUGUACGGAACGAAAAGGCUCUGGCUAAUACCUGGGGCUCAUGACGGUACCGUAAGAAUAAGCACCGGCUAACUACGUGCCAGCAGCCGCGGUAAUACGUAGGGUGCAAGCGUUAAUCGGAAUUACUGGGCGUAAAGCGUGCGCAGGCGGUUAUGUAAGACAGAGGUGAAAUCCCCGGGCUCAACCUGGGAACGGCCUUUGUGACUGCAUAGGUUGAGUACGGCAGAGGGGGAUGGAAUUCCGCGUGUAGCAGUGAAAUGCGUAGAUAUGCGGAGGAACACCGAUGGCGAAGGCAAUCCCCUGGGCCUGUACUGACGCUCACGCACGAAAGCGUGGGGAGCAAACA